GAGGAAGAAAACAACCUGACAUCAGAGGACUUUGAAAUCCUGGUCAUUAACAUGGACUACGGCAUGAAAGACGAGAACAGCAAAAAUGCAUCCAGGAUUGGCACAACGUGCUUUUCUGAGCAGCUGAUCAGGGUCUUCUGUAAGAAGACUGAUAGAAAGAGUGUGAAGGCUGCAAAAAAGCACUUUGAACAGUGGAAGUUCGAGAAGAAGCCGCAUCUGCUUGGACCUGAGGGUAAUUAAAAGACCAUGGAAAUGACUCAACAACAUGAAUAACACAGAAUUAUUUCUUAUUCAGACUCAGGACUCUUUCUAGCUUUUAUCAUAUACAUGUUGUAUUGUUGUUUUAAAUUGUUGACUCCCUUCUGCAUCUGCAUAAGUUCCAACAACAUACAACAUGUUUUAUUGAGGACAAAGAUAAAUCAUAAUAUAUAAUAAUAUAAACUGAUACAUAGACACACAUGACACUGGAUACUUACACAGCUAGCAGCUGUAUGGCUGUUGAAUACCAUUUAGGUAAAGAAAGCCAUUAUUGAAAUCCAACAAUCAUUGUCUCAAACUGAAUAUAUAAACUGCAUGUUUCUGAAUUGAUUCAGCUUUUGGUCACAUUUAUGCUUCUUUGUAGGUUGUGAAUUCUUUUUGGUCGGGGAAAGAUGUAAAGCACUCCCAACAUGUGUAAUGGAGUGAAUAUUUCACUUGUGGUUUUAUUUAGGGAUUUAUAAUACUCAGUGGUGUUUUAGUUUUGAUGUUAA